rnacentral:sRNA from 1 species
UAAUCUGCCCAUGCGGGAAGGAUGAGAAGCUUCGACCAAGGUUCGAUUCGAGCGUUAGCGAGAAAGCGUUGCCGCAGGCAACGACCCGAAGGGCGAAGCGCGCAGCGCUGAGUAAUCCUUCCCCCACCACCA